AUGAGCGUCUUUAUGCUCUCCAGAGGUUUCUGUGACAAAUAUGAGAAAAUGAGUUGGAACUUUUGGUGGGGUGACGAUGAGGGGCAUAGGAAGGUGCAUUGGAUGGCGUGGGAUCGCAUGAUCAAGCUAAAGAGGGAGGGGGCAUUGGAUUUAGAGACAUGCAUUUGUUUAAGCAAGCGCUCCUGGCCAAGCAGGGAUGGAGGCUCAUUCAAAAUCCAGAUAUCCUGUGUGCAAGAGUACUCAAGUCAAAGGUCUUAUGACUGCUGUGUCCAGAGAGAUCAAUGGAUCCCAAGGAAAGAGGGCCUUAUGACUGCUGCCUUCAUUAGGAGAUCCCGGAUUAGAUGGGUCAACCAACUUAUGUUGUCCGAUAAUAAGGAAUGGAAUGUGCCUCUCAUCAGGCAAAUAUUCUAUCCCUUUGACGCUGAUGAGAUCUGCAAGCUAAAUAUCCCUUCUUCGGAGGUGGGCGACUGUAUUGCUUGGCAUUAUGAGAAGAAUGACAUUUUCUCAGUCAAGAGUGCAUAUAGACUUGCGGCUACUAACCUAGAGCAAGUGUCUCACACCCCGUCGAGCUCCACUAGGGACCCAAAUGAUCGUAGCAUCUGGGAUCUCAUUUGGAAAACAAAAGUCCCCAGGAAGAUCUGCAUCUUUGCUGGGAGGGUUGCAACUAAUACCCUGGCCACCAAGAAAACAAAUGGAAGAGAACGUUGGAAGUUGAUGCCACCUGCAGCUUAUGUGGCAAUGGUGUCGAGGACGAACACCACGCGGUUAUAG
rnacentral:rRNA from 1 species